AAGAAGAAGAAGUGCACCGGAUGCGGCACUGCAUCAGUAAACAAAGCAGUGGAAGCUGCAAAAAUGGUGUACGUGUCGAAUGGUCAGGUUCUGGACAACAGGACCCAGUCUCCAUGGCGAUUGUCAUUCUUCACUCAUCUCUUCUGGGGUACUGUGGCGUUCAUUGGCUUGUUUUUCCAAACCCUGGUCCAGCCAGAUCUGACAGAGGGUUAACUCUGGCUCAUCCUCUGCAGGCCCCAGUGAUGGCAGAGGAUAAGUCCCUACCUAGCCCAAGAUGUACUGUUAAGGAGCCUACCAUUACUCCUUAAGGUCCAAGGAGGUAUCUUCAGAGGUGUUCGGCGCAUGCUGGAUGGCUAAUUAGCACAGGUGGUCCCUCAGUCUUCCAUAAACACGUGGGGUAACAUGGAGAUAUGGCUGUGUGGGAUCACUAACCCUAUAAAAGACCCCCUGGUAGCCGGAGGCAGAUGGGGAGGAUAAACCACGGUGGGGGCCCCUCCCAUGGGGGGAGGAUGAGGAAGGUAAACGACUACACCUUUUGUGUAGGCAUGGGGUGUGGCAAACUGGCUGCAGAUGUUUAGCCUAAUUUAGGCUGCAAUGAUAUCCAUGUGUGCCAGCCCCCUCCUUUUCGGCUGCCUCUGCUCACCAGACUCCUGACGCUGCUCUGGGAAUUCCUACACGUAGGGGCCAGAGCGGCCGAUACAGCAGCUUCCCGUUUCUGACCCCUCUUCCUUUCCCAUUGUUAUAAUUUCACAUCACUCUCCUGCCUCCUCUCAAAAUCUGUAAUUUUUUGUAUCCCAUUGUUCAAUAAACUCCUGUGCUGUA